rnacentral:rRNA from 1 species
UUGGGAAUAUUGCACAAUGGAGGGAACUCUGAUGCAGCGACGCCGCGUGAACGAAGAAGGCUUUCGAGUCGUAAAGUUCUUUUAUAUGGGAAGAUAAUGACGGUACCAUAAGAAAAAGCCCCGGCUAACUACGUGCCAGCAGCCGCGGUAAUACGUAGGGGGCUAGCGUUGUCCGGAAUCACUGGGCGUAAAGGGUUCGCAGGCGGAAAUGCAAGUCAGGUGUAAAAGGCAGUAGCUUAACUACUGUAAGCAUUUGAAACUGCAUAUCUUGAGAAGAGUAGAGGUAAGUGGAAUUUUUAGUGUAGCGGUGAAAUGCGUAGAUAUUAAAAAGAAUACCGGUGGCGAAGGCGACUUACUGGGCUCAUUCUGACGCUGAGGAACGAAAGCGUGGGUAGCAAACA